GUCAAGUCAUCAUGGCCCUUAUGUCCAGGGCUACACACGUGCUACAAUGGGCGGUACAAAGCGCAGCGAAGCCGCGAGGCGCAAGCGAACCGCGGAAAGCCGCCCGUAGUCCGGAUUGAAGUCUGAAACCCGACUUCAUGAAGUUGGAAUCGCUAGUAAUCGCGCAUCAGAACGGCGCGGUGAAUACGUUCCCGGGCCUU
rnacentral:rRNA from 1 species